rnacentral:rRNA from 1 species
GGGGGCCCGCAAGCGGUGGAGCAUGUGGUUCAAUUCGACGCAACGCGAAGAACCUUACCUGGGCUCGAAAUGCAGGAGACCGGGGUAGAAAUAUCCUUUCCCCGCAAGGGGCUGCUGUAUAGGUGCUGCAUGGCUGUCGUCGGCUCGUGUCGUGAGAUGUUGGGUUAAGUCCCGCAACGAGCGCAACCCUCAUCCCUAGUUGCCACCGGGUAAUGCCGAGCACUCUAGUGAAACCGCCUCGGAUAACGGGGAGGAAGGGGGGGAUGACGUCAAGUCCUCAUGGCCUUUAUGUCCAGGGCUACACACGUGCUACAAUGGUCGGUACAAACCGUCGCAAAGCCGCAAGGUGGAGCUAAUCGGAAAAAGCCGGCCUCAGUUCGGAUUGGAGUCUGCAACUCGACUCCAUGAAGCUGGAAUCGCUAGUAAUCGCAGAUCAGAACGCUGCGGUGAAUACGUUCCCGGGCCUUGUACACACC